rnacentral:misc_RNA from 1 species
AACCAAGAUCAAGCAAACAUUGUCGCAUGAUGUGUUUUAUCAUACAAACUUUGCAUCUCUGUAUUCAAGGUCUCCAGGUCUAAAAAAAGACCAUUUUCAUCAGAUGCAAAACUUAUUAGAAAUUGGCCUCACUUAACUGCUCAACCAACCCAAAACCUAAGAGGUAAGAAUCCAGUCUAUCUAAAUGCUCGUGUUGUUGCAGAACUAAGUAUGCUUACCAGAAAGAACUAACAAAAAUGGAGAUUUUAUGACUAAUUUAACAAAUUUUCACCAAACAGUAAAACUAGACCAUUGCAUCAAAUAGCGCAACAAUUAAACAAGAAAAACUAGUAGGGAUCAAG